CCUACGGGAGGCAGCAGUGAGGAAUAUUGGUCAAUGGGCGGGAGCCUGAACCAGCCAAGUCGCGUGAGGGAAGAAGGUCCUGUGGAUUGUAAACCUCUUUAGGCGGGGAGCAAUGCCGGGCACGCGUGCCCGGAGGGAGAGUACCCGCAGAAUAAGCAUCGGCUAACUCCGUGCCAGCAGCCGCGGUAAUACGGAGGAUGCGAGCGUUAUCCGGAUUUAUUGGGUUUAAGGGGUGCGUAGGCGGCGUUUUAAGUCAGCGGUAAAAUGUCGGGGCUCAACCCGGGCCGGCCGUUGAAACUGGGGAGCUUGAGUGGGAGAGAAGUAUGCGGAAUGCGUGGUGUAGCGGUGAAAUGCAUAGAUAUCACGAAGAACCCCGAUUGCGAAGGCAGCAUACCGGCGCCCCACUGACGCUGAGGCACGAAAGCGUGGGGAUCGAACAGGAUUAGAUACCCCUGUAGUC
rnacentral:rRNA from 1 species